AGUUAAGUGAAUUUGCAAACAAUGGAAUAUAAAGCUAACAGACUGUAAAACUAACUAAAAAGUUAAGUGACUCUACAAACCAUGGAAUAUAAAGCUAACAGACUG